rnacentral:ncRNA from 1 species
GUUUCAGGGCGAGGUGCAAGUCCUCACCGGCGGUAUAGUCCGCGAACGUAUGACUGUUUAAGAUGCCCGACGGCUCAGAAUAACAGUGGUACGCUGAUCAGGUGCGAUUCCUGAACCGACGGUAUAGUCCGGAUGGGAGAAA